AUGGAGGAUGUUGAAGAAGCGGUUAGAGUGAGUGGUGAAGAAAGUGAUAACUCGGAAGCAUUGUGUUUGUUGGGAAGAUGUUACGAAUGGAAAGAGAUGAGAUGGAAGGAGUGGGACGAAGGAGAGAUGGGUGGUUCGGUAGGAGGGAGACGCGCCAACAUAAAGGAGUGGGACGGAGGCGAGAUGUUCAUGAGAGAGAUGAAGACAGGAAACAGGUUUGUCUUGGAAGCGAAAACAAAAAGAAGUGAUAUGAGUUUGUAA